AAAAAAUGCGAACUAGUUUUAGCAGCAUUCCCGCGAGAGUUUUGGCUCCAAAAUAUUACAUUUUUCAGCACCACUUUCACGCGACCCUCAAAAUAAAGAUAUUCCAAAAUUUUCAAUCCACAAAAUAAAGCCCAUAAUUUGAAAAAUAAAAGGAGAAAACCAUUUCAUUUAGUCAGAUCUAAAACUCGUGGAUUCAUAGCUCUCCAACUCUCUCUCAGAAUACUCAGAGGUGCGGUGGUCGACGACUUAGCUCCGGCGACUAAGGCACGGUGGGCAACAAUAUCUUCUCUGAUGAUGAGCUAAGGGCAUGGUGGUCAGAAAUAUCAUCUCCUCCACUUCUUCGUUCGAUUACAGCUUGCUUGGACCUGCUACAACUUCUAUCAGUCAACACCAACAAAAUUGGCUGGGGAGAAUUAUUUCUUUCAUUUUGGGCAGGCUUUUCCUCUGGAUUUAGUACUCUUUUCCGGUUGAGGACAACUUAAGAUGUGUCCCUCAUUGAAGACUUUUUAAAAAUUUUAAUCCAACUUCGUUUUUUGAUGAUUAUGUUAAUCUGUAUAUCUACCUUUCGGGUCUUCUUGGCUUUCUUCUGAGCCAAAAUGACCAAGGCUGUUCUAUCCGAUAGUUUAGAAGCUUCGCUUAAGUUUCCACUGAAGCUCUUGAGCCACGAAGAAGAACUCCAUGACGGAGUCGAAGCUGUAGAUGCCAUUGCCACACCAAAAGCCACUCACACUCACUGAUUGUCUCUCUUUUUGUGUCUCUGAUUUUGCUCUGUUUAAUGAUCUUAUCUCUUUAUGGAAACUUGAGGGCACCCAUAAUGGCUGAAAUGUUCAAUUGUACUAGUUGAUAACUUCUUGCUUUGGAGAUGAUGAUGAAGAAUAAAAUGUAUCAAAACUUUUAACUCUUGGACAGAUUUGGUCUUUAUACAAAGUGUGGUUGUUGAUAUCUUUUCUCUUAAACAAUAAUUGACAUAUCGAAAAUUUGUAUGCGACUCUUAAUCUGUUAAUUUGUAGGCUUGAGUUUAGAGAUUAAAGAAAGUGUAAUUGUAGCAAUAUAUCAUUUUUGCUAUACAUCAAUA